rnacentral:lncRNA from 1 species
UUAUAAAAUCAUUUCAUUUAAUCACAUUUUACUUAUAAAACAUAAAGAUUUACCAUUUAAACUCAUUUUUCCAUCAAAUCACAAAAACAAAUAAAAACUACUUUAGAUAAUUAAGACGAUAAUAAGGUUACUCACUGUAAUAGAAAUCGAGUUUCGAGUACUCCGAUUCUUGAUCCUCAGGUACUAUCUCUUUACUUUUGCCAGAAUGCUCACCACCUAGACAUAAUGCACAAUAAGCCAUUUACUACAUUGGUGCUAAAUUGUUAUAAAACCAAUUCAGGCUUUAUACUAAUGCAUGAAAUGGGAUGUAAAUUGUUCGGAUUAUCAUCUCAACAUGGUGUUCUACACAAAUUCAAUUGUGUACCUAAAUAAAAUGGUAUUGGCCUAAGUCGAUCUAUCACCCGAUUAAUUGGCCAAUACAUCAAAUUCAACUCCAAUUAACUCCAUUUGUCUUCCAAUUCUCGAAACCAUCAAACACAAGUUAAAUAACUUGAAAUAUGGCAAAAUCAUCCUCACAUUUUCUCUUGGAAAAUUCGGCCAUGGUGGGUGCAUCAACACUAUAAUUUUUCAAGCUUGAUUCUCACACCAUAAAUCACUAAUUCCUAACCAAAUCACUUGAAAUAAAAUCAAAAUCAUCAUCAAUAUUCCACAUGGAGAAUUCGGCCAAUGAGGGUUAUGGAAGAACAUGAAUUUUCCUUGCUUGAUUUUCAUGCUACACAUCACCAAUCAACUAAAAACACUAGAAUAUCUUAAAAUCUAACCAAAACAACCAUCAAAAUCUCUCUCUAAGUGUUCGGCCAGCAAGAGACCCAUCAUGAAAUUGUGUGAUUCAACCAUGAAAAAUGCAAAAGAAUGUAUGGGAAAGGUAGAUCACAAGUCAAAAUCAAGAAAUUUUACCUUUGAUUGCUUGAUUACUUGAAAUCCACCAAUUUUCUCUUGAAAUUUCACUCUAGGGUCUUUGUUCUUUCUUUUCUUCCUUUGUUCUUG